rnacentral:lncRNA from 1 species
UAGUAUUAGAUAGGCCAAUUUCAAAGUCAUGAGGAGAAAUCAUUAUGCUAGCUAGUCCUUUGCUUCUUCUUUCUCCUGCAAUUUUCAAAACGUGACAAUUUAAGCAAUUCUAAAUUACUAGAAACUAGAAAUUUGUUAUAUUAACAAACAAACCUGUAGCUCGAAGUUUAAGUCAAGAUCUAAUUGUUUACUAGUAGAAUUAAGAAAGUGGGCCAAAGAGUGAAUGAGAAAGGGAAAUUAAAUGGCUUAAUAUAAUUGACAUCUUAACGGUGCCAUUAAGUAUAACUUAGAUUUAAAGAAAGUUUAAUGUGGCAAGCUUGACGAGACUGUGUUUGGUAAAGCUAGACUAUUAUAACCAAGUACUUUGAACAUGUGUUUUAUUAAUACUUUAGUACUACUAAAAUAGUUUGGUUAAUUAGAUAAACUACUUGUAGCUUGACGCUGACUAGUGAUAAUAUAUAUAAUACUCUUCCCUAAGUUCAACCAUCACUUUAUUGUUCAUGACUAAACACAUUUGGUGACCUAUCUAAGAGGCUACUUAAUUUGAACUUGUAACACUACACCUUGAAUUUAUUAUGAGUUGUGACACUACUUUUCGAAAUUAUAAUCUCUUGACUAUUGUAAGAGAUGCAUUUGCUCAUACUCAAUUAAGAAAAUUACUACAUUCAACAUGGCAUUAUGCAUCGAAAGAAAGAGAAACAAAGAAAAAGGAAGUGUUGUUUUGCUUAGAAGAUGGAAGAAAUUAAGAUUUAACAAUGAUAAUAAAAAAAAAUUGGGCUUAAUCAAGACUUAUAGCGUAGUGAUACUAUUGAAGAAAUUCUCGUAUAACAUUAACUAAAGUGCAUAUAAUUCUCGUAUAAGUCAAAUUGUGGAAAAAUUACCCCAAUUGUGAAAAAAUUACUUAAAUAUACCACUUAUUUUAUCAUAUUUCUAAAAUUUCCUGCCAUUUGAAAAACUUACAAAAAUCCCUAGUCUCUCUUGUUCUCGGAUACAUCACUUUACGUGAUGUAUCAGUCAGAUACAUCAAUUUACGCGAUGUAUCGGAUUCUUGGAUACAUCAAUUUACGUAAUGUAUCGGUCGGAUACAUCACUUUACGCGAUGUAUCGAGACGUUGAGUGAUGCAUCCGAAAUUGAGAUGCGAUAUAUUGGGACAUUGAGGGAUGUAUCCGAAACCGGAACCCGAUGUAUAAGGACGUAACAAUAUGAGAUUUACGUAAAAUUCCCAAAAAUUGUUUUGAACGGGCCCAUUCGAAUGCCAUAUUUCGACCCAUGUGAUUUGAAAUCUGGAGGCCCAAUUAGAUUUACAGAGGGAAUUCUCCACCAAAUUUUAGUAUAACGUUAAUUUUUUAUGGAUUCGAUACUUUUUACUAAAAAGUGCACUGAUAUUUCAUAGUAUGAGGACUAUUUAGUGCUUUAUUAAGUCAAAGAGUGGAAAUGAUUUUGAUUCCAAGCUAAAAAAUAAGAGUGAAUUGAAAAUUUUAGUGGAACUUGAAUUCUGGUUGUUUGCAGCAAAUUUUUUUCCAUGCGCAUAUAAUAAAAUGCAAUUAUAAAAUAAGUAAAAAUGAGUGAUUCUAUAUAUUAAGAUUUUUUUGUAUAUUCUUUUGAUUUUUUUCUCUUAAUUUUCAUUGUGAUUUGAGGAUCGUUAGUAACGUAUUUUUUGAAUGUAGGAUGAGGCAUACCUUUUUUAUCGCCAAGAACACAAGACAUCACUUUGAUUUUUCUAGUUGAUCUUGAGGAAGAACGUCUCUUGAUCACUUUGUCUUUGAGAAAAACAACACUAUGAUCCCUUUAUGAAUACUCAAAAGUUUAUGAGAUAUCCAAGAUACCAAGAAAUAAAGGCGUAAGCUAGAAUUUAGGAUAGAGUAAUCUCCCAAAUUUCUAACACUUUAGAGUUUCAAAAUGAAUUGACUUAUCUAGUAAAGUCCUAUUUAAAUCCGAUAAAAUUUUAAUGCCUAACAUUAUCCUUCAGUCUUUCACCAUUUCUUUCCUUUUCUGGUUUAUCAAAAUUUCGAGCAACUUAUAUAUUCAACUUUUCUCUUUUUUUUUUUCUUUUGUCUAAUUCAACUAUAUGUCAAGUAGUUUUGAAUUGGUAUCACUUAGGUAUUCUGAUACCUACUGCGAUGUCACUACAAUGUAACAUCACUAAAAUUUCAUUAGGGUACAUAAGAGCCUUUUUUACGAACAAUAUGUAUAACGUGAAGUUCUCUUUAUUUAUUUUGAAUACAUUGUAAUCGAUUAGUUUAGUUGGAGAAUCAUGCAUGAUCAAUUAUUAUGUCUAUAACACCGAAUUAAUUAUGUAUUAAAAAGAUCGGAAGACACUAACAAAAUAUGAUCGAUAUAUUUUGAAUGAUAAAAAAAAUAAGUAAUAAAUGUGCUUUUAAAGAUCAUUAUUAUUUUUCUUUUCCUAGCAUUAAACCUUGUGCAACCUUCAUCCAAUUGUACUUUGAAAAAUGUUUAAAUGAACUGCAAUAUAUAUAUUUAUAUAUAUACCAGAUAUGAAAUGUCCGUGCUAUGCACGGGACCAACGUGUAUAAUUUUAAAAGAACAAUUACGAUUUUUUUCUUUUAUAGUUUGAUUAUCAUAGACAAAUAUUGUUGCUAUACAAUAAAAACAGGAUAAUCUAUAAUAAUAUUGUCAAACUAUUUUUAUAAAUACAUAAAAAAAUUCGAAGUACAAAUGUCAUUAUAAGUAUGUCAUUAGAAUUUCUCUUAUGCUCAAUUACGGUACUCCCCGGUAGAAUUUGAGAUUAAGGAGAGGGAACUACAUGAGCACUUACAAGAGAGCAAGCUGCAACUCAUAAUAAGCUCUAUUAUAAAGUCAUACUCAACAGUCAUUUAGAUGACAUUCAUUUAAAGAAAUGACUCAUAUAUUUCAACAAUGAUAUCUUAUGAAAUCUGGGUAGGUAGAAACUAAAGUACAUUCUUUUUGUAUAUGUAUACUGAAAUUUUCCUCAUAUCAAUGAAUUCAUUACAUCAUAAAAAAAAAGACUACGUCGACGGAAUAAUAUUUCUCUAAAUGGAUGUGUAAUAAUUAUGCAAUCAUUGGUAUUCAUAAGUGUGUUGUCAUAAUAGUAAAAAUUACAGGCUUUCACUAAUUUGUUAAGAUCUAUAAGAAGAGCAAUUGUUCUAGGCUUAAUCAUGUUCAAUAAUUUUGUCUGAAUCAUACACAUGUUCUAUCGGUAAAGUCUUUCAUCAUACUUAUAUAUGUCUAAACAAUAUACCUAAUAGAAAAUACGUACUUGAAAAGUCUUUGUGAGUAUUGUCCUAAUUUGUUUGUAUCUUACAUAUGUUUACCGUUGAAAUUGAAACAUGAACAAAUUUGAGCCGAAUUUUUAUUUUCAUUGCACUGCAUGUCGUCGUUAUGAUAGCCCUUAAGAGAACAAAAAGGUGAUGUGAUUUGUCAGUCUUCUCUGUUUGCUUUGGCGGUGAAUAUUUAGAGUAAGAAUGAUCUGAAAACUAAUGUGUUAGUAGGUAAAAGAACUUGCUGAAAUAAUCAUGUCACAUUUUGUGCGUAGUCUUUUACCGUCAACAUUUUUUUACCUGGAUAGUAUUGUGUGCUAAAGAGCUUUGUUUCUGUCAUUCUUACGUCAUAUUCUCUUUUUAGAUACAAAUAAUAGUUAGAAUAUAGUGCUUUUAGUAGUGGCUUUGCGAGCAUAGAGAAGUGGAGGAUAGCUUUCAUAGAGGACUUCACUAAUUUGUUAAGAUCUAUAAGGAUAGCAACUGUUCUAGGUUAUCAUGUUCAUUAAUUUUGUCAGAAUCGUAAGCAUGUUCUAUCGGUAAAGUCUUUGAUCAUGCUUAUAAAUAUAUAUAUAUAUAUAUAUAUAUAUAUAUGCCUACAAAAUAUACAUAAUAGGAAGUACGUACUUGUAUAGCCCUUGUGAGUAUUGUCCCAAUUUAUUUGUAUAUUACAUGUGUUCACAGUAGAAAUUGAAGUAGGAACAAAUUUGAGCCGAUUUUUUUUUUUGCAUUGCUCCAUAUGUCAUUGUUAUGAUAGUCCUUAAGAGAAUAAAGAAGUCGGCCUCCUCUGUUUGCUUUGGCAGUGAAUAUUUAGAAUAAGAAUAAUCUGAAAACUAAUGUGUUUAAUAACUUCACAUGAAAUAAACAAACGUACAUUAUUUGUGAAAAAAACAUACAAUGAUACAUAUAAAUGCAUUAAACAUUAUCCGAUGUCCACUAAAUGUCUCAAAACUCUGCUAUUUAUUUAUUCUAAGCUAAAUCAUAUAGGACAUUCAUACAAAGGCCGGUUACAUAUUUAAAUGACUAAUUAACUCCUUUAGGUCUUCCUACAUUAAAGACAUUUGUUCUCACACCACAACUGUUUGUUUUUAUUUGUUUUAGACUUAUAAUUUUUUAACUCAUAAUAAUAAUAUUAAUGAUCUGAAUAAUCCUAAACAUAUUCCUUAAUACUAUGAUAUUAAAUAGAUAUAUUCCUCGAUAGAUUUGCACUAUUCUGUUAAAGUAACAAUAGUGAUUUUCUAAAGAAAAGUUAUAAAUUAUCCAUAUCACUGAAAAUAAAUAAUUUAGUAAGAACGAAAAGUAAAAGAGAUAAAAGGGAGAGAAAAGAAAAAGGAACUUACUUGGUGAGAGAGUAGAGAAAACUUAGGUUGAGAUUGAAAUGAGGAUUGAGCUAAGGAUAUAUUUAUUUGUGUUAAAAAGUAACUUCUAGAGAAAUCAUAUUAAACUUGUG